rnacentral:rRNA from 1 species
AUGCUUGCUAUCUUUGGGAGUGGUAUUACUACAGGAAGGUACGCAAUGACAUCUCAUCAGCCUCUUGGGGUUCCAUCAAUGGUGCAAACCUCCCCAUCAUUUGUAAACCUUGAAGGUUGUGGUUCUGAAUUUGUUGUGGAUGGGAAUGAACCUGGAUUGAGUGCUACUGCUACUGCUCAUGGAGAAGAUGAUGUUGCUACUCGUGGGAAGGAACCUUGUAAGGAUGCUUCCAGCUCCACUGGCAAAAGGAAGAGGGCUAGCUUGAUGAGUGAAGAAGAAGUUUUGGUCAUGAGCAACAUGUCCGAUGCAGUCCGCGAAGUUGCUGUUGCUAUCAAGUCCACUGGAGAGGCACAUCCUGAACUUUAUGAUGUUAUCAUGGAGCUCCCUGGUUUUUUCUGA